GACCACGUAGCUUGGGAGGAAGAGCGCCAACGCUUCAUAAUUGUGAUUCAUCUUGCAAGGCGGUGAUGCAAGUUCGACUCUUGCCAUGGUCA